CAAAAUACGGAUGUUGUUUGCCACGCGUCGUACUGUAGGUCAUUUGGAAGGAGAAAAAGGGGAGCAAAGAUCAGUUUCAUCUCGUCGACGAAGUCAAGCAAAUCGUCUCGUGGUUCCUCUCCUUCUCUACUCCGAACCAAAGAAGUCUCCGUCACCGAUUUGAAGCGACCGAGAGAAGAAGAGGAUGAUAACUCCACCGCCGAUGUCGCUUCCAUGGAGACGGAUCACUCGGCUCCGGCUGCUAACGAAGAGCAGACAAAGGAGCCUGCUUGUUUCUCCUCUGUGAUUCCCGGGUGGUUCUCUGAGAUGAGUCCCAUGUGGCCAGAUCAGUUUCUCGUUCUUGUUUAUCAUAAAGAUAUCUCCUUUUUGAUUAAAAAAAGCUGAUGUUUUUUUUUUUGGGAUUGCAGGAGAGGCACACUCUUUGAAGGUUGAUAAAGUUUUGUUUCAAGGGAAGUCAGAUUACCAAGAUGUUAUUGUUUUCUAGUCUGCGACAUAUGGGAAAAGUGUUGGUUUUGGAUGGAGUAAUCCAACUUACGGAGAGAGACGAAUGCGCCUAUCAGGAGAUGAUCACUCAUCUUCCUUUGUCCUCUAUCCCUGAGACAAAGCAAUGACCCUAAGAAGGUUGUUGCAAAACUCAUGUGUACAAUUGAGAGAGAAGAAGUUCCAGAUGAUUUAAAGCAAACUCAUUUUUAUCAAGUUUCAGUUUUCACAAGUUGGGUUGAUGAAUAUCAUGAAGGAGGAGGAUAUAGAGGGACAAGUUUGAGAACUAAAGAGAAACAUUGAUUCUUUAACAUCUUGGAGUGGGAAAGGUGUGAUUGUUUGUCUUGGAGAUUAGAAUUGGGCAGUCUGGAGCAACGGUCAUUGAAUUACAAUGCAGCGGAUCAUCUACUGAAGGAUAUAGGGAGAUUAGUGUAUGAUUGUAGCAUCACAGGAGCCAAGUUUGGCGUGUUCACUAACCCUCCACGCUUCCAGUGUGGCAACGGGAAGAGAGAUUCGAGCUUACCGUGGAGCCGGAGUUGAUGGAGAAGUUAUAGUACAGAGGGUGUGGAUAAUUUGCUAAUGGUUUGUUGGAAGAGUGGGGGUGAAAGAAGUUUUUCAAACGGCUUUAGUAACGGUCAGAAACGGCGGAAAGAGGGCAUAAGUGUAAUUAAUAUGAUAAUAUGAUGGGAGGUAUACGAGGAGGAAGGAUUCAUGGGUGUUGGCUGCUCUGCUCCCCCCACACCCCCCCCCCCCCCUCCCCCCCUUGGAGGUCGAGAAGGUGGUUGUAGUGACUAAUGACAUCUACAUAUCAAAAUUGUGAAACACACAAAAAAAAAAGAUAAAGAAGAUCGAUAUGAAUCUAAAAAAUCAAAAAGGUCAUAUCAUCGAUCUCACAAGCAGACGCCCAUGAGAAGUUGAUGGCCAAAAAACGUUUUACAAGUAUAAUGGUGAAUCGUCAAGAUGAGCGUGUGAUCACUGAUCACGACGAAGCGAUAAUAAGGAAAACCAUUCCAUGGAUGGGAAACCAGGACACAUGUUUCUUGAAGUUGCAGCAGAUAGAACUGAAGAAGAAGAAUAGUCAAGACACACGAUCUGGUCUUUCAGCUACGAUUAACGCUAGUUACUAACUUUAUCGUGUUACAUAAAUAUGCACUAUGUUGUGUUUGGCUUGUGCUUGUUUACUACUCUUUGGACUAGAACGAAAUUGGAACUAUUAACUUUCUGUUUG